ACGAACGCUGGCGGCGUGCUUAACACAUGCAAGUCGUACGGUAAGGCCCUUUCGGGGGUACCCGAGUGGCGAACGGGUGAGUAACACGUGAGUAACCUGCCCACAACUUUGGGAUAACGCUAGGAAACUGGUGCUAAUACUGGAUAUGUGCUCCUGCUGCAUGGUGGGGGUUGGAAAGCUCCGGCGGUUGUGGAUGGACUCGCGGCCUAUCAGCUUGUUGGUGGGGUAGUGGCCUACCAAGGCGGCGACGGGUAGCCGGCCUGAGAGGGUGACCGGCCACAUUGGGACUGAGAUGCGGCCCAGACUCCUACGGGAGGAAGCAGUGGGGAAGAUUGCACAAUGGGCGCAAGCCUGAUGCAGCAACGCCGCGUGCGGGAUGACGGCCUUCGGGUUGUAAACCGCUUUCAGCAGGGACGAAGCUUUUUGUGACGGUACCUGCAGAAGAAGCACCGGCUAACUACGUG
rnacentral:rRNA from 1 species